rnacentral:tRNA from 1 species
GUAAAUAUAGUUUAAGCAAAACACUAGAUUGUGGUUCUAAAGAUAGGGGUUAAAGUCCCCUUAUUCAC